rnacentral:tRNA from 1 species
GAUAAAGAAAGGAUUGAAACCAAUGUGAGUAGGACUACAGCCUACCGCCUAAUAUUCAGCCACUUUACC